AAAGCGGGCCUCUAUAUAUAAGCUCGCGCUCCGGGACGGGUCCGCGUCCCAUCAGCUAGUUGGUGAGGUAACGGCUCACCAAGGCAACGACGGGUAGCUGGUCUGAGAGGAUGGCCAGCCACACUGGAACUGAGACACGGUCCAGACUCCUACGGGAGGCAGCAGUGGGGAAUCUUGCGCAAUGGGCGAAAGCCUGACGCAGCGACGCCGCGUGGGCGAAGAAGGCCUUCGGGUUGUAAAGCCCUGUGGGGGAGAACGAACCGUACGGGGGCGAACACCCUCCGUGCCUGACGGUACUCCUUUAGCAAGCAUCGGCUAACUCUGUGCCAGCAGCCGCGGUAAGACAGAGGAUGCAAACGUUGCUCGGAAUUACUGGGCGUAAAGCGCGUGUAGGCGGUCUGGUAAGUCGGACGUGAAAUCCCGGGGCUCAACCCCGGAAGUGCGCUCGAUACUGCCGGACUUGGGUUCUGAAGAGGAGAGCGGAAUUCCCGGUGUAGAGGUGAAAUUCGUAGAUAUCGGG
rnacentral:rRNA from 1 species